rnacentral:lncRNA from 1 species
CCUCUCUCUCUUUCUCACUUUCCAUUCUUUAUUCUUCGGUACCACCGGUGUACCGAUUUUACCGGCCGAAUCAUGCCGAUUCUCUGCCGCUCCGGUACGAGAUGGGGUGUACCAGCCGGUUCGGCACGGUAUAGCAAACCUUAGUUGAGCCUUUUGGCUUCUCAAGGUAAGGUUGUUCAUUGAGGAUUGUCCUCUUUGAAAAGAAAUUAAACUAAUUUCUAACAAAAUGUGAAAGACAAAAAAGAACUUUUAUGCAAAGUUUAGUUUAUAUGGACUAUUGCAAGGAAGAAAAAUUAUCCCCAGAUAAAAAAAGAGAGAUAAUACCGGUAGACCACUUGGU